AUUCCUACGGGAGGCAGCAGUGGGGAAUUUUGGACAGUGGGCGAAAGCCUGAUCCAGCAAUGCCGCGUGCAGGAUGAAGGCCUUCGGGUUGUAAACUGCUUUUGUACGGAACGAAAAAGCUCCUUCUAAUACAGGGGGCCCAUGACGGUACCGUAAGAAUAAGCACCGGCUAACUACGUGCCAGCAGCCGCGGUAAU
rnacentral:rRNA from 1 species